UUGAUUUAGAUGUGUUGCGUUAGAAUUUUAAAUGCCUAUAUUUUACAAUAUUGCUAAUAUUUGCACAGGAAUGGAACAUUUUCUGUAAUGAAACAUUCAAUAAGUAAUAUUUGUGGAACAUUCAGACCAACUAAGCGUUUAUAUACACACUGUACACUUUAUGUAAAUAGGAAUUCCCAUGAGAGGCGGUUAUGUAAAUCCCAUGAGCUCCAUGUUCUUUAAAACACAGAAAUUACAGUACAUAUUCAGUGAGGAGCAGCACUGUUCACUUCUUGUCUUUUGUUGCUGUAAAUGAAAUAAAAUGGAGGCCUUAGUAUUCAUCAUAGCUUUGCUGUUUGUGUUUAAAUAUGCUCAUUGUGACAUCACACUGACAGAGUCUGCUCCACAGAUGAAGAAGCCUGGAGAUUCCGUGAGGAUCUCCUGCAAAAUUACUGGAUUCUCACUCAGCAGCUACAAUGUGCACUGGGUUCGACAGGCUCCAAACAAAGGGCUGCAAUGGGUUGGAUACCACAGUGGUUCUUUUGACGAUCGUUUCAAAGUUACAGGAGAUUCAUCCAACAGCAUUGCUUACUUAGACAUCACCGAUCUCCAGUCCUCAGACACAGCUGUGUAUUACUGUGCCCGAGAGACACAAUGAAAGAGUUUAAGGCCCUGCUGCACAAAAACCCUCCACAGAUGAUUUAGCAGGCAGUGUGUGACUGGCUGUGCUGUGUGGCCUAUAGACAUUUUCCGUUAUUGUUUUUCUCCUGGAUUUCCACCAUAAGGCUUCAUCACACAUUUUUAAACAAAGUUGAAAUUAAUUUAAGAAAAUAAAAAAUACAUUUAAUCCAA